AGUGGCGGACGGGUGAGUAACGCGUGGGUAACCUGCCCCAUACAGGGGGAUAACAGCCGGAAACGGCUGCUAAUACCGCAUGCACAUGCGGGGGCGCAUGCCCCUGCAUGGAAAGCUUUCGCGGUAUGGGAUGGGCCCGCGUCUGAUUAGGCAGUUGGCGGGGUAACGGCCCACCAAACCGACGAUCAGUAGCCGGCCUGAGAGGGCAACCGGCCACAUUGGGACUGAGACACGGCCCAAACUCCUACGGAAGGCAGCAG
rnacentral:rRNA from 1 species